rnacentral:tRNA from 1 species
GGCGGGAUAGCUCAGUCGGUUAGAGCGUCGGAUUCAUAACCCGGAGGUCUCGAGUUCAAUUCUCGAUCCCGCUA